rnacentral:lncRNA from 1 species
GAGUGAGGGUGUGUGUGGGGGAGGUCCUCCCAUACACACACCCUCACUCCCAUCCAUACACUCACCCUCUCUCACACACCCAACCUCCCACCUUUAAUGUGUGUGGAUGGGACUAAGGUUUUCUCAUUUCUUUCAGAUUGUGCGCCUCCGAGGUGAAAGUCUGACUGAAGUGAACGUGUGGCUGGUCGAGAACUCCUCCAAACAGGUAAAGUACUUAUGACAAUAUAUAAUGUCUAUAUGCAAGUAUUUAUGAAUGUUAUGUUUUAAAGUUUUUUGUAUUCCAGGUUUGUUUGUGUGGCUGACUGGACCUACUACAAGGUGCUUCUUGCAGGUAAUAAAGAUACAUCAGUGAUGGUGAGGCCGUCACAUUAUCAGCGGUUGUGGAUUUCUCAAUUCAACCUUUAUAUUGCAGACUCCACAUAAGGUAAAACACUUCCAUUCAGCAAUUGGUGUGCAGUGUCCAGAUUGUCAACAUUUAGUUCAGUAUGAUGUUACUUCUGGCCAGCUUAACCUGAGGAGAAAGUCAGUACAGUACACGAUUAGAUUUUGAAAAGGAAACUGCAAAAUCUCAUGGUGUUGUCCCGACCUCCGUAAAGUGUCAUUAAUGCAAGAACGAAUGUAAGUGUCGUCAAGACCAACACAUGUGGUAACUCCAACGAGAACCAGGCCAAUAAGGUAAGAAAUAAGGGAUUCCAACAUAUGGCGAGAGUCGGUUAGAUUAGGUCCGGUUUAUGUUUUUAUAGGGUUUUUUUUUUUUGCAUUUUU